AUUGAACACUGGCGGCAGGCCUAACACAUGCAAGUCGAGCGGAUGAAGGGAGCUUGCUCCUGGAUUCAGCGGCGGACGGGUGAGUAAUGCCUAGGAAUCUGCCUGGUAGUGGGGGAUAACGUCCGGAAACGGGCGCUAAUACCGCAUACGUCCUGAGGGAGAAAGUGGGGGAUCUUCGGACCUCACGCUAUCAGAUGAGCCUAGGUCGGAUUAGCUAGUUGGUGGGGUAAAGGCCUACCAAGGCGACGAUCCGUAACUGGUCUGAGAGGAUGAUCAGUCACACUGGAACUGAGACACGGUCCAGACUCCUACGGGAGGCAGCAGUGGGGAAUAUUGGACAAUGGGCGAAAGCCUGAUCCAGCCAUGCCGCGUGUGUGAAGAAGGUCUUCGGAUUGUAAAGCACUUUAAGUUGGGGGGAAGGGCAGUAAGUUAAUACCUUGCUGUUUUGACGUUACCAACAGAAUAAGCACCGGCUAACUUCGUG
rnacentral:rRNA from 1 species